rnacentral:rRNA from 1 species
AGAGUUUGAUCCUGGCUCAGGACGAACGCUGGCGGCGUGCUUAACACAUGCAAGUCGAACGAGGCUCAACCGGGUAACCGGUGAAGGCCUAGUGGCGAACGGGUGCGUAACACGUGAGCAACCUGCCCCGAAGACCGGGAUAACAGCGGGAAACCGCUGCUAAUACCGGAUAUCCCCAUUAGAUCGCAUGAUCAUAUGAGGAAAUGGAUUCCGCUUCGGGAGGGGCUCGCGGCCUAUCAGCUUGUUGGCGGGGUAACGGCCCACCAAGGCAACGACGGGUAGCUGGUCUGAGAGGACGAUCAGCCACACUGGGACUGAGACACGGCCCAGACUCCUACGGGAGGCAGCAGUGGGGAAUCUUGCGCAAUGGGCGAAAGCCUGACGCAGCAACGCCGCGUGAGGGAUGACGGCCUUCGGGUUGUAAACCUCUUUCAAGCAGGGACGAUAAUGACGGUACCUGCAGAAGAAGCUCCGGCCAACUACGUGCCAGCAGCCGCGGUAAUACGUAGGGAGUAAGCGUUGUCCGGAAUCAUUGGGCGUAAAGAGCUCGUAGGCGGUUUGGUAAGUCGGAUGUGAAACCCCCAGGCUUAACCUGGGGCCGCCAUCCGAUACUGCCAUGACUUGAGUCCGGUAGGGGCCCACGGAACUCCUGGUGUAGCGGUGAAAUGCGCAGAUAUCAGGAAGAACACCGGUGGCGAAGGCGGUGGGCUGGGCCGGUACUGACGCUGAGGAGCGAAAGCGUGGGGAGCGAACAGGAUUAGAUACCCUGGUAGUCC